AGCCCCGUGGUGAAAAUAUCAUGUCGGAUUGCAAAUCCUAAGAUGCAGACUAAUACCCUGCCGGGGCUU
rnacentral:tRNA from 1 species